GUGAGUCAUCGAAUCUUUGAACGCACAUUGCACCCUCUGGUAUUCCGGAGGGUAUGCCUGUUCGAGCGUCAUUACAGCCCUCAAGCACUCUGCUUGGAGUUGAGCGCUGCCGGCUGACGGCGCGCUUUAAAAUCAGUGGCGGUGCUAGACAGCUUCGAGCGUAGUAAUCUCUCUCGCUUUAGGAGCUUGAACGGAGCCUGCCAGAAGCGAUUAUAUCGAAAGGUUGACCUCGGAUCAGGUAGGGAUACCCGCUGAACUUAAGCAUAUCAAUAAGCGGAGGA
rnacentral:misc_RNA from 1 species